UGAGGAAUAUUGGUCAAUGGGGGCAACCCUGAACCAGCCAAGUCGCGUGAAGGAUGAAGGUCUUAUGGAUUGUAAACUUCUUUUACACGGGAAUAAAGUGGGGGACGUGUCCCCCUUUGCAUGUACCGUGUGAAUAAGGAUCGGCUAACUCCGUGCCAGCGGCCGCGGUAAUACGGAGGAUCCGAGCGUUAUCCGGAUUUAUUGGGUUUAAAGGGUGCGCAGGCGGGAUGUUAAGUCGGCGGUGAAAUUUCGCAGCUCAACUGUAAAAGUGCCUUCGAUACUGGCCUCCUUGAGUGUGGAUGAAGUAGGCGGAAUUUGUGGUGUAGCGGUGAAAUGCUUAGAUAUCACGAGGAACUCCGAUUGCGCAGGCAGCUUACUAAGCCACAACUGACGCUCAUGCACGAAGGCGUGGGGAUCAAACA
rnacentral:rRNA from 1 species